GGCAAGAUGGCGGAGUGGUUAACGCGUGGCACUGCUAGUCCCUGAAAGGAUAGACAUGCCAUCCCUUCGGGGGCCAGAGUUCGAAUCUCUGUCUUGUCG